GGUUGAUUGGUUCAUUUAGUAACGUGACCAAUUUGUGAGUAAAGCUACAAUCACUGACUCCUUAUUUAGAACACAACAUUGACACAACAAGACACAAACUGCAUUUUGUUGUACUGUACUAAAGUUGAAUCUGAUAUAUUCUUACUUUGGUCGUAGUUCACAAAGUGGAUGUCAUUUCCUGUUCUUGAAAUCUACCUCUGCUGGCAUCCCACUCAUCAGAAACAAGCAUUGGAAUGUAUCUUCACUCUAACCAGGAGAAGGAGGAGCAAAAGUCCCACUGUCUUGCAGUUUCUUGAACCCGUGCUUUGGAGCACUUUGACACCAUAAAUUCAUACCACUAAAGUUUCAACCAACAUAUCAUGGCAGCAUUAGGGCUUAUAUGGCUUGGAAUAUGUGAGUAUUUCAUCCUUUUCAAAUGAAACCAAAUAUAAAAAGAAUUUUCUUUCAUUUUUCUAAACAUUAUUCUUUUACUAAAAUAGUUUUCCAUGCAGCAGCAAAAUACAUCCUUGUUGAAUGUCAAAACAUAUGCAAAGAUACAGAGAUCUACCACGCAAAGCUCUUUGGACCAUCUAAUGUGACUGAAGGGACCACAAUACAUUUCAAGUGUCAUAUUAAUGACAUCACAAUAAGCAGGGACAUGGUUCAUUUUUACCUUUGUAAGGAUGGAGUUGGGAUACAAAUGGCACCAAUAACGAAAGAUGCUGAAUCUGUUUUCUUGUUGAAAGAAGUUAAAAAAAAACAAUCAGGCAAGUACAGCUGUGUGUACAGCAUAUGUAAACACCCAAUCAGCCAAGUGAAGUCAACAGGGGAUUAUCUGGUCUUACGGAUCAACGGAG
rnacentral:lncRNA from 1 species